rnacentral:rRNA from 1 species
CCUACGGGAGGCAGCAGUGGGGAAUAUUGGACAAUGGGCGAAAGCCUGAUCCAGCAAUACCGCGUGUGUGAAGAAGGCCUUCGGGUUGUAAAGCACUUUAGGUCGGAAAGAAAAAACUUUGGUUAAUACCUGAAGUCUUGACGGUACCGACAGAAUAAGCACCGGCUAACUCUGUGCCAGCAGCCGCGGUAAUACAGAGGGUGCGAGCGUUAAUCGGAUUUACUGGGCGUAAAGCGUGCGUAGGUGGCUAUUUAAGUCGGAUGUGAAAGCCCUGGGCUUAACCUGGGAACUGCAUUCGAUACUGGGUGGCUAGAGAUCGGUAGAGGGCAGCGGAAUUCCGGGUGUAGCGGUGAAAUGCGUAGAUAUCCGGAGGAACACCGAUGGCGAAGGCAACUGCCUGGGCCUGAUCUGACACUGAGGCACGAAAGCGUGGGUAGCAAACAGGAUUAGAUACCCUGGUAGUCCACGCUGUAAACGAUGAGAACUUGACGUCUGCUUGCUAUGCGAGUAGGUGUCGUAGCUAACGCGAUAAGUUCUCCGCCUGGGGAGUACGGCCGCAAGGUUGAAACUCAAAGGAAUUGACGG